ensembl:lncRNA
AGCCACUUCUGCAUGUGAGUCAUGAGAAAGGACGUUUGUGUUUCCUGAAGCUUCUUUGUUGUUGCUUAAAUGUUGAUUGUUUAUGAACAUUUUCUUGGCUUGGUUUGUGUUUUCAUCUGAUCGGUAACAAUAUAUAGGAAUUCAGAUUAUCUGAUGGCAAGUGUGGAGUAGGUGCAUAUGUAGUCUUGACUGCUUUGGUUUACAUGAGAGCUGAAUUUAUUAAAGGAGUCAUCUCAACCUAUACCUGUCUAACAGUGCUUCGGUAAGUGUUUUUAUAUAGAUAUUUAUGUCUAUAAUUAUAACAACACCAUCACUUUAAAUGUCAGUGCCACUUCAUUAAGACUCCUGUAACUAUGUUAAUUUUUAAAGCAUUUUCUUAAUGGAUGGAAAUUGGGAAAUGAGUUGUGAUAUUUUUAGCAAAGCGAGCACGUACAGCAGGAAUACCUUCCCAAAUUACUAAUGAAACUUAUUCACAUCUCCAUUUUAUAUCUUAAAUCAAACAUUCUUUUCUUAAUUCAUUUCUUAAACUACAAUCAGCUGAAAAUUCUGACCCUAAAAUUGUUAACUAUGUAAGUGAUUGUGGAUUCACUAAUUAUUUUCUCAUCUUCCACUGACACGUUUCUUUUGCAGGGGAAUCUUUCAUUGAGACAAUUGAAAUCGCUGCAGUGAGAAUGGAAAUUACUUGGGAUCCUUUCCUUUUAAAAGCUGUAUGCAAGAACUGUGUGAGAUAAGCCUGCAAGGAUGCACUGUCUCCAGUGGUGGAAUGGAACUCUCCUACAUUUGCAGCUCUGAGGUCCUAUGGAUUUUUCCUGAUUGAAGAAAGGAAGGUGUAUUAUUCAAUCCAAAUGCUUAUUUUUCUGUUGAUCUUAGGAACUGUGAGGGGAAGAAGAUGCUUAAUUCAUAAAUAAGGGAAAUAAAAGAAAGGCCUGCUUGCAAAUAUCUUGAGAUUGUUGCUAUUCGAGAGUGAAGAUAGUUGGUGAGAGGAGCAUGUCUGAAACGCCUGUGCUGAAAGAUUGGAGCUGCAAACUGGUAGGGGAAAGAGAUGUGAAACUGGAAAGUUCAAAGGACUGGUACAGGUUGGGCAAUGAUUUUAAGGAUUUGUUUGUUUCUUGAAGAUGGAAGAAGCAGCAGCUUAACAGGAGGAACCCUGCCUGAUUCUGCGAAGAGAAGGUCAGGCUUGGGGAAAGCAGAUCAACCUUAAGGUUUAUUAGAAUGCUUAGCACUGGAGUCAGGCUGUUACAUAGUAGUUUUUGAUAUGAAAUCACUGUCACUUUCAUUUCUCAUCCAAUUCCACACAGAAAAGGGCAACUUUAUUACUGCAGUCUGCUACUUUGUGAAAUUUUGUCCUGAAAAGGCCUCCCAAAAAUUAGAUAGUAGUUGAUGGGCCUCUAGAGAUCAUCUAGCCUAAGCAGGAUCAGGCAGAACAGGCCUCUCAGGGCUGUAUCUGAUCUUAAUCUGCCCCCCUGUGUUAGUCUACUAUGAAGCAAUCCACGUGAUCAUAUGGAAUAUUCAAUGAUAGGACCAGCAUGGUGAGCUGCUGAGUCAGGAAAGAUGUUUGUAGGCUGUGCAAGGAGGAAGCCCAAUGCUGUUACAGGUGCUGUAGAAAUAGGUUGAAAAUUCUGUAGGGAAUGGACCAAAGCCUACUAGCAGAGGAAGCUGUGUCUUCAUGGUGACAUGAAACAAGAAUUCCUAGGAAUUGGAUGUUAUAUUUAUUUUUCUGUCUUUAUUUUUGUAUGAUGCUGUACAAGUUACUAGGCCAUUGAUUUUUGUAGUGUUUAUGUUUCUCACUUCACAGAUGACUUUAAGCCAUUGUGUCCAGUGGAAACACUAGAUGUUCACAUUUGCAGCUGGUUUGCUUAAGAAUUGUAAACAUGAAUUCAAACUUUAUGGAAUGUGAUGUCCGUCUGGAGUUUCCUACAUAUUUCAAGUGGGAUACAUCUAACUGUUGGGUACUACUGUAGUUUCUAUAUCUUCGUGUCACAUUUAAAGUAGGGCUGAUAGUCACUUGAAGGGAUGUUUUUCUAUUUUUGCUUGUUUCAAGCUUUGUUUAGUAGAUGUGCUACAGGGAUGUGCUUCCUCGUGGGAUUUUCUAUGGCAUUUAUGACUUCAGAUCACAGAGGAAGAGUAGAAGAAUAUCUAUACAUAAAACUAACACAAAAAUGCUCACACACACAUGGAUUCUUAGUGUAUGGAAACGGCUGUGGCACCUUUCCUACCAUCAAGGUAAUGUGGAAGUCUGUCACUCUUCCAUUAAGCCAUAUGUUAUUUUCAGACAUAUCAAUAGAAACGCUAACUUUCUAUAUAUGCAUGUGUAAUGAAUCUUAGGACAUCAGAAUAAGGAAUGUCUGGUCGUGUCAGGCAAAGAUAGAAAAGAGCUACUGUGUUGUCACCACGCAGGUUAUUUGGGAAGUGUGCUUGUCUGACCGUAGGCUGUACGGUUGGAAAAGGUUUAGCUGAAAAUGUAACAUCAUGUAGUCAGACAGCCCCCUGUUGGCUGUAUUGUUGUGGAGGCUCCAGGAGUGAAUUGUGCUCAAAUCCAGCAGCUCAUUGCACUCGAGAUGCUUUUUGAAUGCCCUGUCUCAAAUAGCAAAAAUCACCCGUUUUAUCCCAUCUGAAUAAGGUAAAUGUCAGAGCUCAGUUAAAGAGCGUAUCUGUGUCCAGUUUAUUAUUGGCUUUGUAGAAGCCUAUCUUUAGAGAGCUGAGAAAAAAUAUAGAUGAGACUUUGCCCUUAUGAUCAAAAUUUAAGAUUAUCAUACUUUAUCACAUCUACUGUCUGCCUAGUGC